rnacentral:rRNA from 1 species
AACGAACGCUGGCGGCAGGCUUAACACAUGCAAGUCGAACGCCCCGCAAGGGGAGUGGCAGACGGGUGAGUAACGCGUGGGAAUCUGCCCAGAACUACGGAACAACUGAGGGAAACUUCAGCUAAUACCGUAUACGCCCUACGGGGGAAAGAUUUAUCGGUUUUGGAUGAGCCCGCGUUGGAUUAGCUAGUUGGUGGGGUAAUGGCCUACCAAGGCGACGAUCCAUAGCUGGUCUGAGAGGAUGAUCAGCCACACUGGGACUGAGACACGGCCCAGACUCCUACGGGAGGCAGCAGUGGGGAAUAUUGGACAAUGGGCGAAAGCCUGAUCCAGCCAUGCCGCGUGAGUGAUGAAGGCCUUAGGGUUGUAAAGCUCUUUCAGUGGGGAAGAUAAUGACGGUACCCACAGAAGAAGCCCCGGCUAACUUCGUGCCAGCCGCCGCAGUAAAAC